rnacentral:tRNA from 1 species
GUGUUCGGGGGGGAGUUAUUGUCUAUCGUUGGCCU